rnacentral:misc_RNA from 1 species
CUUAGCAGACGUUAUCGUCGUCUGAUNCUGUUAUUUUUAGCAAUCAUUCGCUUAAUUGCUGUAUCGUUCUAUAUCGAAAUAGCCUAUCGUGCGUGCAGUGUCGUUCAACUAUCACUUUGACAACUGCAGCGGGUAUAACUAAAUACACAACAACAAUAACGCCAAACAUUGUUGGAGUCUUUGUAAUAGCAAUAAUAGCUAAAACAUUGUCGCAGAAACGCGGGUAUUCGCCCACCCAUUUCGUUGCUGCUGUUCUAUUGAAUGCGUACAUAACAGUUGCAGUGUUACAGAAACAGCACAACAACAGAGUCAGCUCGUCGACAACGACGUCAUAUGCUGCAUUGGCAGCGAGCGAAAACUUGCUCUUGUACGCAUUGACUGUGCUAAAUGCAACAGAAAAGAUAAAAAGUUAAAACUAAAAUUGUUGCACAAAUGUGUAUUACAACAACUUCAAGAGAGAGCCGAAANUCAACUCUAAAUUACUGAGUAUCUGCUGCUAUUUAUGCAAAGAGCAAAAGUGAACUUUUGAAUGCAACAACGUGCAUAUGUAAAGAGUGAGUGAGUUAUCGCUGCAGCAACACUUGCUGUUCUGGCGCAGAAGCUACUAUUGUCACUAUUACCAGCUACUUUUAUUCGUGUAUUGUGUUUUUGUAAUCAGAUGCCGGCUUCUUAGAACGCUUUGUUACAGUAUUUGUGAUAAUUCAGCGAGUGGGUGACCGGCAAGGCAACGUCGUUCACAUUGCAACAGCAUCAAGUGCAUUAGCGAAGACUAUGCGAAGUGUGUGUUGCAGCGGUUAAAGAGAAUUGACUUUCUAUACAUACACAUAUGCUAAGUUUAAAAUUAAAAAAAAACCAAAAACAAAAGUUCGAAAGUAUAAAAAGCAACUACAAGGUGACCGACAUUGGCCAUCAACCUGUUGGCGACUGUUUAAAGUUGUGAGAAAAACGUGUGGCAAUUCACUUGAGAAUAAAUUUAUUGCAAGAAAAUCAACAACAAUAACAACAUGUGACUGUAAAAAA